CUCCUCUUCCGCGCUCUGCCUCCUUGAAUGGGGCCGGGGGGGCAAGAGUAUGGCGCUGCCCACCACGUUGGGGAGGAAGGCGCGCCCUGAGUAGGAGGCGCGCCGCUGGGGGCCCGCCAGGCACAUCUGCGACACCACCGACAUCCGCCUGCACCGGGACAGCGCCGUCUCCGCCUGCGGUGAGUUUGGCGUGGCCGAGAAUCCUUUCUGCACUAAGAAUUGCUGUGUAUCUGCCACAGAAUCUCAGCGUGUUGGAGAGGUUUCUGGGCAAUGCUGAAGGGUGUCCAUCAUCAUCCCACUUGAAUGGUGAGUGAGCCAGGCGAGGAGAACAAGGCAUUUUACAAAGGAUUAUCUGGCUAUUACUGAGAAGCUCCAGUUUUACUAAAUAGUAAUUAUGUGUUGUCUUUGUAUAGCACUUUCAAGUGUUCGAAAUGUUUCAGAACCAUUAUGUAGUUGUAAUCCCAAAAGCAACUCUGCAAGGCAAUUCAGUAUUAUUCCUCAGAGUACAAAUAGAGAAGCUGAAUUGGCUUGCUUAAGGUCUCCUUGUGAGUUAAUGGCAGAAGUGGCCAGUGCUGGAUUUACAUAUAAGCCAGGGGUCAGUAAACUUUUUUCAGCAGGGGGCCGGUCCACUGUCCCUCAGACCUUGUGGGGGGCCGGGCUACAUUUUGAAGAAAAAUAUGAACGAAUUCCUAUGUACCACAAAUAACCCAGAGAUGCAUUUUAAAUAAAAGGACACAUUCUACUCAUGUAAAAAAUGCUGAUUCCAGGACCGUCCGUGGGCCGGAUUUAGAAGGUGAUUGGGCCGCAUCCAGCCCCUGGGGCUUAGUUUGGGGACCCCUGAUAUAAGCUAAACAAACUAUAGCUUAGGGCCCAGUGGGCCCCCCAAAAAAAUUUAAAGGAAAAAACCUGGAUGUACAUUUCCAAAAUAUAAAGUACAAAUUAAAAUAAAACCUACAUACAGCAACAGUGUUUUGUGUUGUGUAGGCUCCUAUGAUGUAAGUAAUGGACCCCACCUGCCAGCUUGCUCCCUAAAAUAUCACUGGUUUGCUCAUUUCAAUAUAUAGGGUGCCUCCAUUCUGCAUGGACUGGUUGCAUGGCAACAUGCGCAAAUGGCUUUAGAUACCCAUUAGGUCCAUAAAUUACCAAAUACUGUAGCAUAUAUUCAACACCCCCCCCCCCAAAAAAAGCGACAAUUUGUUGUUGACAAAGGACAGCUGGACAAAUAAAGGGCCCCAUUACCUUCAGUGGCUUAGGGCCUCAUCAAACCUAAAUCCAGCCCUGGAAGUGAAAAUUGAGCUCGGAACUCACCAAUCCAUAGCUGAGUCUUUUAGCCACUAUGUUGUUGUUGUUGUUUAGUCGUUUAGUCGUGUCCGACUCUUCGUGACCCCAUGGACCAUAGCACGCCAGGCACUCCUGUCUUGCACUGCCUCCCGCAGUUUGGUCAAACUCAUGUUCGUAGCUUCGAGAACACUGUCCAACCAUCUCAUCCUCUGUCGUCCCCUUCUCCUUGUGCCCUCCAUCUUUCCCAACAUCAGGGUCUUUUCCAGGGAGUCUUCUCUUCUCAUGAGGUGGCCAAAGUAUUGGAGCCUCAGCUUCACGAUCUGUCCUUCCAGUGAGCCACUAUACUAGGGCGCAAUCCCAAAACCCUGAACCAGCAUGGCUAAACUAGGUUUGUUUCAUUUGCGCUGAUUAUAUAUUGUCAACCCUAGUGUAUUUGAUAGGGACACUGUACUGUUUGGUUUAACAAAUUUGUCCUUCAGGCAAAAAUAAAAUAAAAAAAAUCGGAACAUCAUUCUUUUGCAGUUACAUGUGUUUCUAAUUUCUUUAAGCUUUUGGAGCUAACUGAAAAUUAAAUAAAAGCUGUCAUGCAUUAUUAGAAAGAAAGAAAGAAAGAAAGAAAGAAAGAAAGAAAGAAAGAAAGAGUCACUUUUCAUUUCAAUGCCCUCUUAAUGUUAACAAAUCAAAACAGCCUAAGAAAAAGCAUAUUGUGAACUCACAAAGCCCCAUCAAUUAAAUAAUGUGCCCUCUUUAAAAUGGAACCUACCAAUCUAAUACACUAAUGGCUUUAAUAAAUUAAUCUACCAAUUAAAGUUGGAAGCCCCAAGAAAAAGGAGGAGGGGGAGAGAGCAGGUUGGUUGUGGACUUGUUCCCAUUUUAGAUAAAAAAUAGCAGGAAUUGUGAGGGCAGCAAAAACAAGCCUAGUCUACACAUGCAGUGCACUGAGGUCAUAGAAGUCCAAGGUGGUUCAACAGAUCAUAAAGGUAAAGGUACCCCUGACCGUUAGGUCCAGUCGCGGACGACUCUGGGGUUGCGGCGCUCAUCUCUCUUUACUGGCUGAGGGAGCCGGCGUACAGCUUCCAGGUCAUGUGGCCAGCAUGACUAAGCCGCUUCUGGCAAACCAGAGCAGCGCACAGAAACACCGUUUACCUUCCCACCGGAGCAGUACCUAUUUAUCUACUUGCACUUUGACGUGCUUUCGAACUGCUAGGUUGGCAGGAGCUGGGACCAAACAAUGGGAGCUAGCCCCAUCAUGGGGAUUCGUACCGCCGACCUUCUGAUCGGCAAGCCCUAGGCUCUGUGGUUUAACCCACAGCACCACUCACGUUCCGUUCAACAGAUCAUAACGGUGCCCAAAUAGCAAGGUGUCUCUAUGCACAAGGCCCAUUCCUCUGACUCACCCUGCCCCAUGGCUCAAUUAAAUCAUGCCCUCUAAGAAUGACAGCUAGUUGAGAGGGGUGUGCCUUUUGUAUCUUCUCAAUCUCUGCAAUUUGAACACUGAAUUGUACAAUGGACAGUAUUAUGGGAGGAUUGUAUUAUUAUUUUUAAUGCUUUUGGGUGGGUGGUGGGAAUUUCCAUGCAAACAGAAAGACUAGCCCUGUAGAGAACAAGCUAAGUUUAUACUUCAUCUCCCCCAUCUGGCAUGCUGUGCUUUACUUGCAGAGCGGGUGAUCAAUAAAAAUUGCUUCCCUCAAAAUUAAAUUUUCUGCAUAUUAAUCUUGUUUUCUACGUGCAGCAGGCCUUUGCUUUUGUUUUCAGGAUGGAGAACCACGCAUGCAAAACCACACCUGCACUUUGAAGUACUGAAGCUUCAACAGAGAUACAGUGCCUCAGUGAAUUUAUGGCUCAAAUGAUAGGUGACGUUAAUGGCGUGCACUUCCUUCCCCCCCAAUCCCCCCCCUUAUUUUUAAGCUAAUGCAGCUGUCUGGGCUGCAAUCUUGAAAAGACGACCAGCAAUUUUGGGGGGUUGGGGGAGAAACACACACACACACAGGGGGGGGGCAUGUAACAGACACUUUAAUCACUUCAUUUGGUGCUUUUCUUUCUCCAAAAUUACCCCUCCAUACAUAACCUUUUCUCUUUUCCUCCCACAGUCAUCUGGCCUAAGAACAGCUCUAGAGUGAUCUGGAAGCUGAAAACCAGAAUAAAAGAUUAAGAUGACCAUCUCAACUCCCUUGAUGUGGUCUCUCACUAGAGGUUGCAGCUUGUAUGACUGUUACAGGGGGGGGGGAGAGAACCCAAAGAAAAUGAGGGCAGGGAGGAAAGUGGACAGCACACAUGCAGACUUUGAGCUCAGUAUCACAACCCUAUGCAUGUUUACUCAGAAGUCUGUAUCCCAGGGGGAAUAUUCCUUAGUAACUGAGUUUAGAAGUGCGACCUUGAUUUCCGUUUCCAGAACUAUUUUCUACCCUUGCUUUCAGCCAGGCAUCCCCAAACUUCGGCCCUCCAGAUGUUUUGGACUACAAUCCCCAUCAUCCCUGACCACUGGUCCUCUUAGCUAGGGAUCAUGGGAGUUGUAGGCCAAAACAUCUGGAGGGCCGCAGUUUGGGGAUGCCUGUUCAGCCAUUCGGUUUUCAGGGGAAUCUUAGAAAGAAAGAAAGAAAGAAAGAAAGAAAGAAAGAAAGAAAGAAAGAAAGAAAGAAAGAAAGAAAGAAAGAAAGAAAGAAACACUUCUGAAAUAGUUCCGCCAAUUCCAAGAUUACACCGUUUCAAUUGAGUAGCAUCUCAAACACUAUCUACAGGUUUGUUUGUUCGUUUUGCCACAAAACAAUGGAGAGCUUCUGGCCUGCAGUUAUUUGCAGAUAGGUUUCCCAGAUGAAAUAGUUUAAAUUGUGGCGAAACAGUUUUCUGCAACUGUGAAAUCCCACUAGCAUUUCUGAUCUGAACUCGAAAGCUUACCCAAUCAAAUCACAAUUGCUUGGAAUUUGUGUGCAAAUGAUCCAUCUAUAUUACCAGUUGGGACUCUCUUUGCAUCAAAGAUAUUACCUUGGAGAAGAUCUCUGCAGUAAACCUGGAAACAUGUGGACUUUUUAUCUUCCCUUUACCUAGGGGUGGGAAACUUGCCCACCCCACCCCCCAUUUAAUAGUCAGUUAGUUAAUCAGGGCCUGCAGCUAACAGUGGGUUGAGUCAAAGCCCCAAAUGGGAAGUUUGCAACAUUGUGCAGCUCUCUCGAGCAGUGUCCCUCAACCUUUUAAACCCUCGCCCCCAUUUAACUAUUAUAAAAUUCCCACGCUCCCCCUCAAAUAUGGGUCCCUCAAUUAUUUUAUUUGAAUUUUUUAAAUGAUUGAAAUAUUGUGACUUUAGUUUUGACUUAUAUUGUACAUAUUUUGGGGGGAAACACUCAGCCCCUUGCCGAAAUCUUCAUAUACACACCUCCUGGGGUAGGUGGGCCUCAUUGGAUGAGAAACACAGCUGCAGAGUCUAAAUCGUAAUAACUUUUUAAAAAGACACACCACCUGCGGUCUGAAGCAGUCCAAUUCAUGCUACCACUUCAUUCUGCCGAAUGCACAGGCGUAUGGAUGAACCCUUUUUUAGAUGAGACUGUAGUAAGGUAUACUUUCUUUGUCACAAAACACAAGCACAUUCCCAAGGAUAGUGAAUAUGAUUGAUGAGUGGCGGAAGAGAGAGAAAGCUGGGCUGUGAAGAAUCCUAUUAGCUAUCAGCAGUGUUCAAGGUUUCGUUGACACGUAAACCCCUAAACGACGUGGGACCAGAAUACAGUGGUACCCCAGAAGUCGAACAGAAUCCGUUCCAGAAGUCCAUUCAACUUCCAAAAUGUUCGGAAACCAAGGCGUGGCUUCCGGUUGGCUACAGGAAGCUCCUGCAGCCAAUUGGAAGCCGUGUCGGACGUCGAGGUUCCAAAUAAUGGCCGCAAACUGGUUUGCGGCGUUUGGGAGCCAAAAUGUUUGACUCGCAAGGCGUUCGGGAUCCAAGGUAUGACUGUACCUAGCAGACUGCCUCUCCAGGUACCGGAGGCGAAGGAGACUGUGACCAGCAGGUGACAAUGCAGACGCAAGUCUUCUUGGAGAUAGCAAGCCACGCUAUGGAAUAUUUUCCCUCAGGUAAUUUGUGAAGCAGUGACGAAGUUUGUCUUUCCCGGUGGCAUUUUAUUUUUAUUUUGUUUUCUGGACUGCUCAUUCUUGCUUGUUAUUUUGCUUUGAUAUUCUCUUUAGGAAAUUUUUUUUAAUGCUGCGAUUUCGCUGGCUUUUUGUAAACUGCUUAGAGGUUGUUCUUUUUUAAAAAUUCUAUUAUGCGCUGGGAUUGUUUUAUAAAUAAAAUGGGGGGGGGAGGAAUGACAAGGAUUAUGCAAGAAGAAAACACCCACCUGCUCAUACUUCACAGAGACUGCAUAAGGACCUGCAUUCCCCUUCUACCGAAAACAGGAUACCCACCUGUCCAUUAUGUCAAGAAGAAGAAAAAACCAGGACCCUUCAGAACAGUGGAACCUUGGUUCUCAAAUGCCUUGGUACUCAAACAACUUGGAACCCAAACACUGCAAACCCAGAAGUAAGUGUUCCGGUUUGUGAACUAUUUUCGGAAGCCGAACGUGCUCCGUUUUGAGUGCCACAUUUUGAGUGUUACACUGAGGUCUGUUUGUUUUUGCUAUUUAUUUUGCGUUUUUGUUAUUGCAGGGUUUUGUUUGUUUGUUUUUGUGACUGCGUGGAACCCAGUUCAGCUACUGAUUGAUUGUGCGACUGCAGUACAUUGAAUUACUGCUUUAAUUUUAUGGCUCAAUGGUCUCGUUAGAUAGUAAAAUUCAUGUUAAAUUGCUGUUUUAGGGGUUGUUUUUAAAAGUCUGGAAUCCAUUUCGCAUUACUUUCUAUGGGAAAGCGCGCCUUGGUUUUGGAACGGACUUCUGGAACAGAUUAAGUUCGGGAAUCAAGGUACCACUUUUCCACACAAACGCCCCCCCCCCAAUGCUGCAGCCCCAAGUGUCAGGAAACAUUUUUUGUUUUGUUUUCGCACUACACAUAGCAUGAGAACUUGUACGCAAAACAGACUUGUCACACAAAAAGAUACAUUUUAUUUCAACUAUCUCUCUAAAUACAGUUUGGCAGGAUCAGUUUUUCACAGGAGCAAUUGUAUUAAAAAAAUAUUUCAUUCCGAAAUACUACUCUCUGAGGUAAUAUUAUAGGCACUUUUGAGUAGACAUAGUUAGGAUUCUGUUGCAAGGCACAUUUAU